UGGUGGGGAAAGCAUUUCAGGCUAAGGAAAUAACGUGAAGCACAGGGGAAAGAAAUCCCAAAAUAUGGAAGGGAGCAGGAGCAGGAUUAUAGCAUGCUUGAAAGGCGUUGGUGAGGAAUGAGGCUGGUGUGGGUGGGACCAGGUCACAGAGGAGGUUCUGGGUGGCAUUGGCCAAUCUUAUCAUAGGAGAGCUUUUGGAUGCACAUAUUUCUACCCAUGCUAACCCUCCUGUCCACUCAGCGGAUCCUAGAACCAGAUGACUUCCUGGAUGACCUCGAUGAUGAAGACUAUGAAGAAGAUACUCCCAAGCGUCGGGGAAAGGGGAAAUCCAAGGGUAAGGGUGUGGGCAGUGCCCGUAAGAAGCUGGAUGCUUCCAUCCUGGAGGACCGGGAUAAGCCCUAUGCCUGUGACAGUGAGUGCCUCACAAGUGGUUGGGUA
rnacentral:sRNA from 1 species